rnacentral:rRNA from 1 species
GACGAACGCUGGCGGCGUGCUUAACACAUGCAAGUCGAACGAUGAAGAAAAGAAUCGAAGCUUCGGCAGAAAUUCAUUUCGGAUUAGUGGCAGACGGGUGAGUAACGCGUGAGCAACCUACCUCUUACAAAGGGAUAGCCUCGGGAAACCGGGAUUAAUACCAUAUAACAUUGCGACGAAGCAUUUCGAUGCAAUCAAAGCUACGGCGGUAAGAGAUGGGCUCGCGUCCCAUUAACCGGAUGGUGAGGUAACGGCUCACCAUAGUGACGAUGGGUAACCGGCCUGAGAGGGUGAACGGUCACACUGGAACUGAGACACGGUCCAGACUCCUACGGGAGGCAGCAGUGGGGAAUAUUGCACAAUGGAGGGAACUCUGAUGCAGCGACGCCGCGUGAGUGAUGAAGGAAUUCGUUUCGUAAAACUCUGUUCUAUGGGAAGAAAAGGACUGUACCAUAGGAGAAAGCACCGGCUAACUACGUGCCAGCAGCCGCGGUAAUACGUAGGGUGCGAGCGUUGUCCGGAAUUACUGGGCGUAAAGAGCUCGUAGGCGGUUUGUCACGUCGUCUGUGAAAUCCUAGGGCUUAACCCUGGACGUGCAGGCGAUACGGGCUGACUUGAGUACUACAGGGGAGACUGGAAUUUCUGGUGUAGCGGUGGAAUGCACAGAUAUCAGGAAGAACACCGAUGGCGAAGGCAGGUCUCUGGGUAGUAACUGACGCUGAGGAGCGAAAGCAUGGGUAGCGAACAGGAUUAGAUACCCUGGUAGUCCAUGCCGUAAACGGUGGGCGCUAGGUGUGGGGUUCCUUCCACGGGCUCCGUGCCGUAGCUAACGCAUUAAGCGCCCCGCCUGGGGAGUACGGCCGCAAGGCUAAAACUCAAAGAAAUUGACGGGGGCCCGCACAAGCGGCGGAGCAUGUGGAUUAAUUCGAUGCAACGCGAAGAACCUUACCUGGGCUUGACAUAUAGAGGAUCGCUGCAGAGAUGUGGUUUCCCUUGUGGCUUCUAUACAGGUGGUGCAUGGUUGUCGUCAGCUCGUGUCGUGAGAUGUUGGGUUAAGUCCCGCAACGAGCGCAACCCUUGUCUUAUGUUGCCAGCACGUUAUGGUGGGGACUCGUGAGAGACUGCCGGGGUCAACUCGGAGGAAGGUGGGGAUGACGUCAAAUCAUCAUGCCCCUUAUGUCCAGGGCUUCACACAUGCUACAAUGGCCGGUACAGAGGGCUGCGAUGCUGUAAAGCGGAGCGAAUCUCUUAAAGCCGGUCUCAGUUCGGAUUGGGGUCUGCAACUCGACCCCAUGAAGUCGGAGUCGCUAGUAAUCGCAGAUCAGCAACGCUGCGGUGAAUACGAUCCCGGGCCU